GCCGGAUUGGCGGAAUGGCAGACGCGGAGCACUCAAAAUGCUUUGCUCGAAAGGGCGUGCGAGUUCGAGUCUCGCAUCCGGCA
rnacentral:tRNA from 2 species